AUGCUGUUUCAAAAUUGAUUAGUUCUCCGACCCGCCCACUGAACUCACCCAACCUAUUGAAGAAACAGAAUGGGCUGUGGAUUAUAGGGUUUCAGAUAAUACCAAGUCCCUGGUGAAAGAUGUUUUUGAUAUUCCUGCUCUACACAACGGAUCCUACCAAGGAAGAAGCACUGAGGAAAUGUGACAUGAAUGUCAGCAAAAUGUACCAUACUAACAGUUGCAUCUCAAUUAAGAAAAAAAUAGAUCACCAACAUGAACCUGCGUGCUUCUGGAAGAACAGGGAUGAUCAGGAAGCUGGGAAGAGAAUCCUUCAGGUCAGGCCUGACACCGGGGAGGAGGGGGAGGUUUGCCAGGGCCACCUUGUCCCACCAGCAUCCAAGUGGAACCUUUGGGGCAUUUUCUUUCUUUCCUUUUCCUUCUUUCCUUUCUUCCAUUGUCCUUGUGCUCCUCCUCCUUGUUCUCUCUCUCUUCCUCCUUCCCUUUUUACCCCCCUUCUUCUUUCUCUCCCUCUUUUCUUCCCUCCUCUCUUCUUUUUUAUCUUUCUUCCCGGAAUGGGAAGCUGCCUCACCUGCAGGAGUAGAAUGGCUGUGUCACCCAGGCCAUGA
rnacentral:lncRNA from 1 species